AGUGAACGCUGGCGGUAGGCCUAACACAUGCAAGUCGAACGGCAGCACAGUAAGAGCUUGCUCUUACGGGUGGCGAGUGGCGGACGGGUGAGGAAUACAUCGGAAUCUACUUUUUCGUGGGGGAUAACGUAGGGAAACUUACGCUAUACCGCAUACGACCUACGGGUGAAAGCAGGGGAUCUUCGGACCUUGCGCGAUUGAAUGAGCCGAUGUCGGAUUAGCUAGUUGGCGGGGUAAAGGCCCACCAAGGCGACGAUCCGUAGCUGGUCUGAGAGGAUGAUCAGCCACACUGGAACUGAGACACGGUCCAGACUCCUACGGGAGGCAGCAGUGGGGAAUAUUGGACAAUGGGCGCAAGCCUGAUCCAGCCAUACCGCGUGGGUGAAGAAGGCCUUCGGGUUGUAAAGCCCUUUUGCUGGGAAAGAAAAGCAGCAGGUUAAUACCCCGCUGUUCUGACGGUACCCAAAGAAUAAGCACCGGCUAACUUCGUG
rnacentral:rRNA from 1 species